GAAUUCACUAGUGAUUCAGGCCUGACACAUGCAAGUCGAGGGGUAGAACACUUCGGUGUUUGAGACCGGCGCACGGGUGCGUAACGCGUAUGCAAUCUACCUUGUACAGGGGAAUAGCCCAGAGAAAUUUGGAUUAAUGCCCCAUAGUAUAUAACCUUCGCAUGUUGGUUAUAUUAAAGUUCCAACGGUACAAGAUGAGCAUGCGUCCCAUUAGUUAGUUGGUAAGGUAACGGCUUACCAAGACGAUGAUGGGUAGGGGUCCUGAGAGGGAGAUCCCCCACACUGGUACUGAGACACGGACCAGACUCCUACGGGAGGCAGCAGUGAGGAAUAUUGGUCAAUGGUCGCAAGACUGAACCAGCCAUGCCGCGUGCAGGAAGACGGUCCUAUGGAUUGUAAAGUGCUUUAUACAGGAAGAAACCCUCCCACGGUGGGAGC
rnacentral:rRNA from 1 species